rnacentral:rRNA from 1 species
GACGAACGCUGGCGGCGUGCCUAAUACAUGCAAGUAGAACGCAGUUGUGAACGGGUGAGUAACGCGUAGGUAACUGCCUAUUAGAGGGGGAUAACUAUUGGAAACGAUAGCUAAUACCGCAUACUAGUAGAUGGACUUGCGUUGUAUUAGCUGGUCGGUAGGGUAAUGGCCUACCUAGGCGACGGUACAUAGCCGGCCGUGGAAGGUGGUCGGCGCCACCGGGAACGGGACACGGGCCAGAAGUCUACGGGGUGCAGCAGGAGGGGAUCUUUGGCAAUGGGGGGAACCCUGACCGAGCAAAGGCGCGGUGGGGAAGAAAGGUUUCGGGGCGGAAAGCUAUUUUGUUAAGGGAGCGGUACUUAACCAGAAAGGGACGGCUAACUACGUGCCAGCAGCCGCGGUAAUUC